rnacentral:lncRNA from 1 species
CCUGAAAUGUCAUUAUGAUGUCAUUCUUUGUGUGGAGACAUAUAAGGACCAGGAAAUAAAUGGAAUCCCAGACUAGGCGCAGCACACACGGGAGCUACUGGGUCUGUGGAACUACUUGGUGGUCAUUUCCCAGUCCCUGAAUAUGUAAUUAGAAUUAUUCUACUUAGUGGUAGGUGCAACCUCUACUUUACGCAUGUAUUUGCCACUACCUGACAUAAGAUGUUAGAAGUUGAGAGACAGAUACUAGGAGGUGGAAUCCAGCCACCUAAAUUCCAGAGGAGCUGAAAGAAAGCAAGGAUCUGCAAUUUGGUGGGUGCAGAUCUAAACAUACCAACAGAGAUACCCUCUGCAGUUGAUGAAUAUGAAACUGAGGAUGCAAUGAUAUUAUUCAAAUAUACAGGCAUCAGAACUGUUCUGACCCUAAAAUUAUUUGCUUCAGAAGAAAAGACUCAGCUCUAUGUCGAGCCAAGCUCCAAGAAAAAAAUAAUUCUCAAGGAUUUGUGGAUGAACUUUAUUCAUUACUGAUUUUUCCCAUAAAUUGCCCCCAA